AAGAUAUAUGCAACCAUACUUGCCUGGUUUUAUCUCGGUGAAAUCCACUUCCCAAUAGGCUCCUGGCUUAUCUCCCUGAGGUCUCUUACUGGGGUCAGCUUUGCUUCUGCAAGCAUUUACUUUUUGGCAGGGAACACAACUGUAAACUAUUUGUUCCACCAGGUUGUUUCAGUCCUGGAACAUAAUACUUAGGUCUUAAGGCAGUUUGAGUUAACUUGAUAUCCUUAGGUAGGGCCAUUGAUGCAUUUGUCUUAUCAUUGUCAACACUUGUUCUUGUGGUAGAAUCAUCUUUCCUGAUGGUACAUACCAGAGUUCUUUUUCUGGUUCAAAGCGGUUGUUGGGGUCUCUUGAGAUGAAUGCCAGAUCUUCAACAGAGUACAAGAGCUUGGGUCCUGGUGAUCUUAGGCCUUGGACCACCAUCACUGGGGCAACUCUCAAGGCCACUGCCCUGGCUUCCUGGUGGCCUGGACAGUGUCAACAGAGUCAGAUAGUGGGUCAUAUGAACACUGGUAAGCUACCAGUCAGGUGGCCAGCAAACCAUGUUCUGUAGGGCAUGUGGAGCAGAUACCACCAAGUCAUGCCCCAAAGUUAAUUUGUCUGCGUCAUAAUCAGCAUAGCAACCGUGGCCAUGAUCCGCAGGCAGGCAGGCCACUCUGCCACCACAGGGUCCAUUUUUUUGGACAGAUAAGCUACUGCCCUUUUAAUGGAGCCGCCAUCUCAGUGAAUUGAGAUAUCCAUAGGCGACAGAAACCUGCGGUGCCCAAACACACUCUUACUUGUUUUUGGUUGGUUGACUGCAGAAUAUGGAACAGUUUCUUUUCUAGCCUCCUACAGACACCUCUUUCCCUUUUUAAGCAGAUACUCCAGUGGCUGUGAAAAAUAACUGUUGAUUGCUGAA
rnacentral:lncRNA from 1 species